rnacentral:lncRNA from 1 species
GAAACAUUUCAUGCACGAAAGCACAUUGUGCCCUAUGAGAUUUACAACAGUCAGCCACGCUUCGUGAAGUUGUUAUCGUGUCGUUGGCACACUAUUCAGAUCAACGUUGCACGCGGCAGAGGACGAGAUCAUACUUUUUUUCUUCCUCCUAGUCAACUUGUUGAUUGAUUGAUUCACUCAGUGUUGGUUUACACACUAUAUGUAGCCUCCACACGCUGCCCUGACAUAUCACAGGAAUGAGGGACGUCCAUUGAUGUGCACACAUUGUUGAACGAAGCUGAAGGGGAAGUAUGUGUGGGAAGACAUGAUCCGUUGAUUAAAAAGUUGUUGGACAUCUGCUUAAUUUGAGACCUUGUUGUAGUAGACAUAAUUUACACAGUAUGUAUGGAUGAUUUGUGUUAUUUCAUACCUAAACUUUUAUGAAUAUCAUCCGGUUUGCAUGAAUUGCAUCUGUUUGUUAAAAUGCGGACUGAAAUGUAUGCGACUAGAGUUGGAUGUUGUCGUCCCACAUCCGUGUGCGCGAGCUGGCCCCCCUUGUCCGCGGACGAAUGCGGGAAGAAAUUUGCGGCUUACUGUUGAAGAUUCCCUUAGGGCGGCUUUGUGUUGUUCAUAUUGGACGUAGCCGCAGGUCGUUCUCCCGCUCGGGAAGCUACGGGACCAUCUACAACCAUCGAUUCCUGCCGCCGGCUGCUGAUCCCCACUGCAGCCAUGGAUUCCCACUGCCGGCUGCAGAUCGACCCACCACGUCCGAAGUCCUUGUCACCACGAACGUCCAAAGGCCUUGUCAGAUCGAGCCGCCGGCUGCUGGGGCAUCAAUCCGCCAGUGUUCGUCCCGAUUUGGCCGGCUCUCGCACGACAGCUCCCUCUUCCGACCUGCACACCCGGUGGCGAAAAACAUAUUAUAGAGCAUAGGCUUAUGCAUUUAUGCAUCGUGAUUCGUACAAACACUUUUUUUUGGUUUCUCCCACAUGAUACAACAUUUGAACAUCCAACGUUGCAGCACUACAAAACAUUCUAACUAGAAUGCAGAAAAAAAUUCUAACUAGAUAAAGUCGUAGCAUCGACUUUAGAUGAUUUCAGGUUUUAUCUAAAAGUAAUAAAUACUUAAAUAUACAACUACAUAUUUAUACAUAUCAUUGUCUCUCUUUAAAAACUUGCAUUAUAAAAACUUACUUGAAAUUACACAAUAAUGUUAAGAUCGAACAUUUCCUAGCCCAUGCAGAUGCACGGGUUUAUGACUAGUAUUCAUUACGGGAAUCCUGUACAUUGUGAAAAAUAAUAAUGUGUUGGUCUUUGAUACAGAUUGCAACUCUCUUGGGAUUAGAUGAUAUACAUUAGUUUGGGUGUGAUUGAUUAAGAGUUCUUCAGUAUCCAUGCAUGCAUGCAGUAGCAGUUUAACGGGAUGUUCAAAAAGAGUUCUCGUGCAGAAGUGACCAGUCCUAGCUGAUUGUAAAAUAGUGUUUUCGAAAAGCAGAAAAUAGCUACUUGUUUCAUGUAGAAUCCUCCAAGUUUCAUGUAGAGGUGUCCAUGUAGUGUAGUCCAAGCUUCUCGAUGACCAAAUUCGAUUGCCUAUUGAUAAAAAUACACGUGUAGAAAAGAUGCCUACCCGUUUCUUUUGCACAACAUGAAAUAACAUAAUUUGUGUUAGAGUUGUGUCGAAUAUUGUAUACAAGGUAGGUUACAGUUGGACUUGUGGUUGUAUUGUGUUUAGGCAGGAUAUG